rnacentral:rRNA from 1 species
GGCAUUGAAAGGCCCGGCACAGAGGGUGCUACCCCCGUAGACGAAACGAUGCGCACUCCAGAGAAGUAUCCCAAGUAGCACGGGGCCCGAGAAAUCCCGUGUGAAUCUGGCGGGACCACCCGCUAAGCCUAAAUAUUCCCUGGUGACCGAUAGCGGACAAGUACCGUGAGGGAAAGGUGAAAAGUACCCCGGGAGGGGAGUGAAAUAGAUCCUGAAACCGUGUGCCUACAAUCCGUCGGAGCCUCCUUGUGGGGUGACGGCGUGCCUUUUGAAGAAUGAGCCUGCGAGUUAGUGCUCAGUGGCGAGGUUAACCCGUGUGGGGAAGCCGUAGCGAAAGCGAGUCCGAAUAGGGCGUUUUAGUCGCUGGGUCUAGACCCGAAGCGGAGUGAUCUACCCAUGGCCAGGUUGAAGCGACGGUAAGACGUCGUGGAGGACCGAACCCACUUAGGUUGAAAACUGAGGGGAUGAGCUGUGGGUAGGGGUGAAAGGCCAAUCAAACUCCGUGAUAGCUGGUUCUCCCCGAAAUGCAUUUAGGUGCAGCGUCACGUGUUUCUUACCGGAGGUAGAGCUACUGGAUAGCUGAUGGGCCUCACCAGGUUACUGACGUUAGCCAAACUCCGAAUGCCGGUAAGUGAGAGCGUGGCAGUGAGACUGCGGGGGAUAAGCUCCGUAGUCGAGAGGGAAACAGCCCAGACCACCAUCUAAGGUCCCUAAGCGUGUGCUAAGUGGGAAAGGAUGUGGAGUUGCAUUGACAACCAGGAGGUUGGCUUAGAAGCAGCCACCCUUUAAAGAGUGCGUAAUAGCUCACUGGUCAAGUGAUUCCGCGCCGACAAUGUAGCGGGGCUCAAGCACACCACCGAAGCUGUGGCAUUGACACACUGCUCGGCCAGUUUUCCUGCGGGGUUCUGGUCCAGGCGUGUUGAUGGGUAGGGGAGCGUCGUGUGGCCAGGGAAGCGGCGGAGUGAUCCAGCCGUGGAGGCCACACGAGUGAGAAUGCAGGCAUGAGUAGCGAAUGACGGGCGAGAAACCCGUCCGCCGAAUAACCAAGGGUUCCAGGGUCAAGCUAAUCUGCCCUGGGUAAGUCGGGACCUAAGGCGAGGCCGACAGGCGUAGUCGAUGGACAUCCGGUUGAUAUUCCGGAACCGGCGAAGAACCGCCCAUGACGAACCUAGUGAUGCUAAACGCCCAAAGCUGUUGUCCAAGACCUUCGGGUUGAGGGUUUCAGUGGAGCGCGUGACCCGAUCUAGUAGUAGUCAAGCGAUGGAGAGACGCAGGAAGGUAGCCUCCGCGUGGCGAUGGUAGUCCACGUCCAAGGGUGUAGGGCGAGCUGUAGGCAAAUCCGCAGCUCACAUAGCCUGAGACCUGAUAGUGACCGCGUAUGCGGGAAGCAGGGUGAUCCUAUGCUGCCAAGAAAAUCUUCUAGCGAGGUUCGAGCCGCCCGUACCCCAAACCGACUCAGGUGGUUAGGUAGAGAAUACCAAGGCGAUCGAGUGAAUCGUGGUUAAGGAAUUCGGCAAAAUACCCCCGUAACUUCGGGAGAAGGGGGGCCCAGAGGGUGAAGG